rnacentral:rRNA from 1 species
UACGUAGGGUGCGAGCGUUGUCCGGAAUUAUUGGGCGUAAAGAGCUCGUAGGCGGUGUGUCACGUCGGCCGUGAAAACCUGCAGCUUAACUGUGGGCGUGCGGUCGAUACGGGCAUCACUGGAGUUCGGCAGGGGAGACUGGAAUUCCUGGUGUAGCGGUGAAAUGCGCAGAUAUCAGGUGGAACACCGGUGGCGAAGGCGGGUCUCUGGGCCGAUACUGACGCUGAGGAGCGAAAGCGUGGGGAGCGAACAGG